GACGAACGCUGGCGGCGUGCUUAACACAUGCAAGUCGAACGGUGAAAGCGGAGCUUGCUCCGCUGGAUCAGUGGCGAACGGGUGAGUAACACGUGGGCAACCUGCCCCUGACUUCGGGCUAACUCCUCGAAAGAGGCGCUAAUACCGGAUACGAAUCCUGCAGUCAUCUGCGGGAUUGGAAAGUUUUUCGGGCAGGGAUGGGCCCGCGGCCUAUCAGCUUGUUGGUGAGGUAGUGGCGCACCAAGGCGACGACGGGUAGCCGGCCUGAGAGGGCGACCGGCCACACUGGGACUGAGACACGGCCCAGACUCCUACGGGAGGCAGCAGUGGGGAAUAUUGCGCAAUGGGCGAAAGCCUGACGCAGCAACGCCGCGUGAGGGAUGACGGCCUUCGGGUUGUAAACCUCUUUCAGCAGGGAAGAAGCGAAAGUGACGGUACCUGCAGAAGAAGCACCGGCUAACUACGUGCCAGCCGCCGCGGUAA
rnacentral:rRNA from 1 species